GAUUUAAAGUAUCGCUUUGUGUUUUAGGAUAACGAUUGUGCGAAUAUCAUAGGCAAAAUAACUAAUGACAUGCACAAAUCAAUGCUGGAGGUAUGAUUCAAUUAAAAAUUCUAAAUGGUUUAACUAAUCAUGAUUACUAAGAGGAAUUUAUCGAUAAUAAUUGUCGUAGGAUGGAGAACACGGUCCUAUGGUGUAUCCUGAUGAGCUUGAUUCGCUAUUAAACAAGACAGUGGCAUUUAGAGUUAAGGUUCAACCAAACUUUAGUCAAGCUUCGGUUCACAAGCCUGAUACCGAUGAAUCAUUUUAUACUCAGAUAGUAAAUGACUACAUCAAUUGUGAGGUAUAGCGUAAAAUUGUUUAUUUCAAAUUUCGCGAAUUCAUAUAUAUUAUCAAUUUCAAUAACCAUUAUAAUAUUUCUUCAUCACUGUUCAUAAUUUGUCUAAACGUUAAAGUCAAAAGAUUGUUUCAAGUGAAGUAAAUCCUCAAUUAAGUUCUAUUGUAGGUUACAUCAUCUUGCGUAAUAAAUAAGAAAAUGUUGUUAUUGUAAAUAUAUCUUAUAUUUUCGUAUUUCUGUAUAUUUAGUCUAAAAUGCAUAAUGCAAAGGUUGUAAGCAGUGAAGAGAAUGUUGAUUUAUCUGUUGUAAGCAAAAAUACUUGGAAUCUUCGUAUGUUUUUUUUACAUUUAUCCCCAUUUAUAUUGUUGAUUAUCUGUUUAUAUUUUAUGUAGCAUUCAAUGUCUUCAUGUGGAGAGAAUGAACUUGAUUUUACCAGUGAUGUGACUCCAAUUAAAGCGAAUUCAUAAGUUUCAACGGAUGUCAAUCUUGACUGUGACAUUGUUGGAGCUACACAAUACUCUGGAACCAAACCACCAAAGAAAAUAAAUAUAGAACCGAACACUUUAAAUAUUGUCCAUCCGUUCAACAUUCCAUUUUAAGUUUUUGUUGUUACCAUUUCCAAUUUUCAGAAAGCUGUGUAUUAGAUGCUUGCAAUUAUUCGGCAUGGUUUAGUUAUCUUUUAAACUAUUUCAUUACAUCCUAUUAGAGAGAUUUAUAUGCUUUUUUUGAGAUAUUUGUUAUGCAAUUAUAAUUUGAUAAUGACUAUCCAUUUCUUUGGGUGGUAUUUCAUGAAA
rnacentral:lncRNA from 1 species